GAUGAACGCUGGCUACAGGCUUAACACAUGCAAGUCGAGGGGAAACGACGGGGAAGCUUGCUUCCCCGGGCGUCGACCGGCGCACGGGUGAGUAACGCGUAUCCAACCUGCCUCUGACUGAGGGAUAACCCGUCGAAAGUCGGCCUAAUACCUCAUGGUAUCGUCUGCGGGCAUCCAACGACGAUUAAAGAUUUCAUCGGUCAGGGAUGGGGAUGCGUCUGAUUAGCUUGUUGGCGGGGUAACGGCCCACCAAGGCUACGAUCAGUAGGGGUUCUGAGAGGAAGGUCCCCCACAUUGGAACUGAGACACGGUCAAAACUCCUACGGGAGGCAGCAGUGAGGAAUAUUGGUCAAUGGGCGAGAGCCUGAACCAGCCAAGUAGCGUGCAGGAAGACGGCCCUAUGGGUUGUAAACUGCUUUUAUGCGGGGAUAAAGUGAGGGACGUGUCCCUCAUUGCAGGUACCGCAUGAAUAAGGACCGGCUAAUUCCGUG
rnacentral:rRNA from 1 species